rnacentral:rRNA from 1 species
UACGUAGGGUGCAAGCGUUAAUCGGAAUUACUGGGCGUAAAGCGUGCGCAGGCGGUUGUGCAAGACAGAUGUGAAAUCCCGGGCUCAACCUGGAACUGCAUUUGUGACUGCACGGCUAGAGUACGGUAGAGGGGAGUGGAAUUCCGCGUGUAGCAGUGAAAUGCGUAGAUAUGCGGAGGAACACCGAUGGCGAAGGCAAUCCCCUGGACCUGUACUGACGCUCAUGCACGAAAGCGUGGGGAGCAAACAGGAUUAGAAACCCUUGUAGU